rnacentral:rRNA from 1 species
CCUGGAAACAGAUGCUAAUACCGGAUAACAACAGAUGAUGCCUAUCAACUGUUUAAAAGAUGGUUCUGCCAUCACUCUUGGAUGGACCUGCGGUGCAUUAGCUAGUUGGUAGGGUAACGGCCUACCAAGGCGAUGAUGCAUAGCCGAGUUGAGAGACUGAUCGGCCACAUUGGGACUGAGACACGGCCCAAACUCCUACGGGAGGCAGCAGU